rnacentral:lncRNA from 1 species
UGCCCCUUUGUGAUUCGAAAAGCUAGAAAACAAUUGAGUAAAGGGUAAGGUACCUUUAAAAUGAAAGAAUCAAAAUAUUAUAUGUCCCAACCAUGAUGCAUCCACUCAAACAUUCUAUUUUGUUAUUCUUGAUUCUUUGCUGCAUUUUCCAACGUGUAUGCUUAUUUGUAAAGACAAAUUGACGAUGUGGCUGCACAAGAUUGCAUCACACAUGCAGGUAAUGAGUUAUGCACACACCCUAAUCAUGAAAUCCACACUCCCUUUGUAUCAUUCUUGUGGAAGAACAACUCCAACAACUUUUCUUCUUGUUAUAAAAACAACAACUCUCUAAUCUCAACUCAAUUCACACAACUAUAGCUUAAUUAAUUAGCAACUCAUAGCCAAUUCCAUUAUCUUCUUUUCAACUCAUAUUUCAAGACACUCACUUUCCAUGGCCAUUUCCCCAAGGUGCAUUAAGCUUGCAUGCAUUGAAGGUGAAUCGUUUGUUUGUACAUAUGUAGAUUGCAUUCAAGAAGAUUAUCACACUAGGAAUGGAAAUUCCGCACCAAUUGCAUAUAGGGANNN